rnacentral:rRNA from 1 species
AACGAACGCUGACGGCAGGCUUAACACAUGCAAGUCGAACGAUGUAGCAAUACAUAGUGGCGCACGGGUGAGUAACGCGUGGGAAUGUACCAUUUGGUGGGGAAUAACUCCGGGAAACUGGAGCUAAUACCGCAUACGCCCUUCGGGGGAAAGAUUUAUCGCCAAAUGAUCAGCCCGCGUGAGAUUAGGUAGUUGGUGGGGUAAUGGCCUACCAAGCCGACGAUCUCUAGCUGGUCUCAGAGGAUGAUCAGCCACACUGGAACUGAGACACGGUCCAGACUCCUACGGGAGGCGGCAGUGGGGAAUAUUGGGCAAUGGACGAAAGUCUGACCCAGCCAUGCCGCGUGAGUGAUGAAGGCUCUAGGGUUGUAAAGCUCUUUCGCCGAUGAAGAUAAUGACGGUAGUCGGAGAAGAAGCCCCGGCUAACUUCGUGCCAGCAGCCGCAGUAA